rnacentral:rRNA from 1 species
GGGUCAGUAGGUUGGUCGUGCCACCGGUACGUACUGGUCUCACUGAUUCCUCCUUCCUGAAGAACCGUAAUGACAUUAAUUUGGUGUUGCGGGGAAACAGGACUGUUACUUUGAAUAAAUUAGAGUGUUUAAAGCAAGCUAACGCUUGAAUACAUUAGCAUGGAAUAAUGAAAUAGGACGAUGGAUCCUAUUUUGUUGGUUUCUAGGAUUGACGUA